rnacentral:miRNA from 1 species
GCUCUGUGAUGGCUAGCUGAGA